rnacentral:rRNA from 1 species
AGGGUUCGAUUCUGGCUCAGAAUGAACGCUGGCGGCAUGCCUAACACAUGCAAGUCGAACGAAGGCUUCGGCCUUAGUGGCGCACGGGUGCGUAACGCGUGGGAAUCUGCCCCUUGGUUCGGAAUAACAGUUAGAAAUGACUGCUAAUACCGGAUGAUGACGUAAGUCCAAAGAUUUAUCGCCGAGGGAUGAGCCCGCGUAGGAUUAGCUAGUUGGUGUGGUAAGAGCGCACCAAGGCGACGAUCCUUAGCUGGUCUGAGAGGAUGAUCAGCCACACUGGGACUGAGACACGGCCCAGACUCCUACGGGAGGCAGCAGUGGGGAAUAUUGGACAAUGGGCGAAAGCCUGAUCCAGCAAAUGCCGCGUGAGUGAUGAAGGCCUUAGGGUUGUAAAGCUCUUUUACCCGGGAUGAUAAUGACAGUACCAGGAGAAUAAGCUCCGGCUAACUCCGUGCCAGCAGCAGC